rnacentral:sRNA from 1 species
CUGAGCGCAUUAGAAACUGAUGUUCUUUAUUCACAGAAACCACACAUCACAAGCAGUCAUAAUACAAGCUUUCACCCAUGUGCCUGUCAGAAUAUUCCUAAAUCUUUUGUGAUGAAUCACUUUUUACAGUGAGGAAAUACAUCAGUCUCUAUGCUGACUCAAUCCCUGGCCUUC